CCGCGGUCAUACAAGAGACCCAAAUUAACUGCAUGCGGCGUAAAGAGUGGUAUCAUGUUAUCAUAACAACUAAGACCGAAGUGCAACCAAGCUGUCAUAAGCUCAAGAUGUACCUAAGACCUUCAUAGACCUUAGUGACCCUGAUUAAUUUAAUCCCACGAAAGCUAAGACACAAACUGGGAUUAGAUACCCCACUAUGCUUAGCCCUAAAUCUCGAUGCUUUCUAUAUACUAAAGCAUCCGCCCGAGAACUACGAGCACAAACGCUUAAAACUCUAAGGACUUGGCGGUGCCCUAAACCCACCUAGAGGAGCCUGUUCUGUAAUCGAUAACCCACGUUAACACCCGACCGUCCCUUGCCAUAAAACAGCCUACAUACCGCCGUCGCCAGCUCACCUCCUCUGAGAGUUCAACAGCGAACACAAUAGCCUAAACCCGCUAAUAAGACAGGUCGAGGUAUAGCCCACGGGACGGAAGAAAUGGGCUACAUUUUCUAACAAUAGACAAAUUCACGGAAGGGGGUAUGAAACCGCCCCCCGAAGGCGGAUUUAGCAGUAAAGCGGGACAAUAUAUGCCCUCUUUAAACUGGCCCUGGGGCACGUACAUACCGCCCGUCACCCUCCUCACAAGCUACAUUAUUCAUAAUAUUUUAAUACUAAUCCUAAGCUGAAGAUGA
rnacentral:rRNA from 3 species